GAAUCCAAAAGUUGAAAUCGUCGCUUGGCUCUACAAAGCGAGAAAUUAAUUGUUAAAGUCGAUGGCAAUUUAGGUUAGGAAAUCUGUCACGGAGCGAGCGAAGACCGGUGGUGGCGUCGGAGUCGAUGGAAGAUGGAGGGAGACUCAAAAGGAGUUAGUCGACAGCCAGAGGGGAGACUGGGGCUUGAGAGAAGAAGAGCAGGGGAGUCAUUGUCGAGACACCGUCGAAGUAUAGUCGAUUGCCUGUUGAAUCGUUUCGAGAAUUACUGUCGAGCUUGAGAGUUUUGUAUAACGUGCGACGAGUUUUUCAUUGUAGUCGAUCUUUGUCUUAAAUAUAGUCAUUUAUUUCUUAUA